CUCACGACCUGGUAUGACCUGCCACCAGCUGCUUGACUUUGGAAUAUCUCAACCUGCCUCCUAGCCUUCUGCACGACACUACCGUCUGCGGAAUUACGUUCACGCGAGUCGAUCACCUGGUUGGACGGAAGAGCAGUGGAAUGUGCAGCACCCUGGUUUCUAGUUUGCCAUCGACCGGUCUCGAUCCUGGCACGUUCUAGCAUGCCAGUCAGACGAUCGACGUGGGACCACUCACGUACCUCUUCAUUCUGGAAGGGAUCUCCCUCGUUGUCAUUUAUCCUACCUGGUGAGAAUACCAGUUCCAUCUUCCGUUCGUGUGGGCAGAUCUUGCUCAAUACCGGGGCUCGAUCAUCUCUUUGCGAUUUGCGCUGCAACGCAAAUAUCACAUCGUUAAUUCGAUUACUCACGUGCUAAAAUUACUGCGACUCAUUCGAGUUUACUAUAUGCAUGUACAGAUUUGUAUUCCAGUGACACGGAUCAUGUAGGAAUGAUUGUGGAAAAGUAUUGCUUGGACAACAUUAUCCUUUCGUUUA